rnacentral:rRNA from 1 species
CCUACGGGUGGCUGCAGUGGGGAAUUUUUCGCAAUGGGCGAAAGCCUGACGACGCAACGCCGCGUGGGGGAUGAAGGUCUUCGGAUUGUAAACCCCUGUCGUGUGGGAAGAACGACCUCGUGGUGAACAGCCAUGGGGUUUGACGGUACCACGUGAGGAAGCCCCGGCUAACUCUGUGCCAGCAGCCGCGGUAAUACAGAGGGGGCAAGCGUUGUUCGGAAUUACUGGGCGUAAAGGGCGCGUAGGCGGCCUACUAAGUCAUACGUGAAAUCCCACGGCUCAACCGUGGAACUGCGUCUGAGACUGGAAGGCUUGAAUUCGGGAGAGGGAUGCGGAAUUCCAGGUGUAGCGGUGAAAUGCGUAGAUAUCUGGAGGAACACCGGUGGCGAAGGCGGCAUCCUGGACCGACAUUGACGCUGAGGCGCGAAAGCCAGGGGAGCAAACGGGAUUAGAUACCCCAGUAGUC